AGCACCUGUCCUACUAUUUUAUUGUAUUAUUCUAAGAAUCUAGUUACUAGAGAAGAAAACAGCACAGACAGAGACAGACAGACAGCCCGUCCAACAGAGAGAGAGAGAGAGAGAGUUCAAAGGAGAGGCCAGGUGGCAGUGAUCAGUCUGAUCACAGCAAUCAACACAAAAAAAGCAGAUUGAACUGUUGAACCCGGUUUCGCGCCUCUUCUCCGCAGUUUGAGCUGCGCGCUGCUCUCCGGCUUCAGUGACUCAGGAAACGCCACAGAGGGAACGACAGCCUCCUGACAUGACAUCUCUUCUUGAGAGAGAAUCAUGUCAGCCCACAGACAACCGGUUGACCUGUGAGUCUUCAAGCAGUAAUGAUGACUACUCCUGCCUUAAGUUCCAGUUUCCUGAACAUCAUGUCGGCAUGAGAUUCUGUCCCCACCUGUCUUCAGUCUGGACCCAAUGAGUUUUUUUUUUUACAGUGCGUUUACAGUCACAUGGUUUUUUUCGAGGCUUUGUCUGAGUUUCAGUGCUGCAGUUAUUUACCAUUCAGGGUUGUUCAGAAACAUCCAAUUUGUCAUUCUCAUUUGAAGGGCUUGCUGCUGUGAUUCUUUUGUGUACACCAGGAUUUCUUUGUAUUUUGGCAUUUUACACAAAUGUUUUUGAAAGAUGGUCAACAAAGUUGCACAAAUAAAUGUUUAACUGCU